UACGGAAGGCAGCAGUGGGGAAUAUUGCACAAUGGGCGAAAGCCUGAUGCAGCUAUGCCGCGUGUAUGAAGAAGGCCUUAGGGUUGUAAAGUACUUUCAUCGGGGAGGAAAAAACAAAACUAAUAAUUUUAUUUCUUGACGUUACCCGAAAAAGAAGCACCGGCUAACUCCGUGCCAGCAGCCGCGGUAAUACGGAGGGUGCUAGCGUUAAUCAGAAUUACUGGGCGUAAAGAGCACGUAGGUGGUUUUUUUAAAGUCAGAUGUGAAAAUCCCUGGGCUUUAACCUAGGAACUGCAUUUUGAAAACUGAAAAUACUAGAGUAUCGUAGAGGGAGGUAGAAUUCUAGGUGUAGCGGUGAAAUGCGUAGAUAUCUGGAGGAAUACCUGUGGCGAAAGCGGCCUCCUAAACGAAUACUGACACUGAGGGUGCGAAAAGCGUGGGGAGCAAACAGGGAUUAAGAUACC
rnacentral:rRNA from 1 species